UACAAUUGAGGGAGUUGCCUGAUCUUGUAAUGCAGGAUUCAACCGCUAGAUGGAAAUACCGUGUCGUGUCACCCAAAAAAGGACCGCGCUUUGUCUGCAGUGUGUACAUUGUGGAACCACUAAACUGCACAACAGAGGUUGACGCAAUCCCCCCUUGUAUCUUUUUCUUCUUCUUCCAUGCCCGCAGUGUAAGUACAGUAUAGCUUACGAACAGACAGGUCUAGAAAUUGCCCCAAAUGAUUCCGGUAUACAUAAGCUGAGGCUGGGUCAUGCAAGCUUUUCCAAUUAAAGCAAGACAGGAAGCAUGGUGGCGCACACAGCAGAAAGUUGACUAGCUUCGGAUCUCUUUCACACAGAACGACAGAAUGAGGGAGGGAGAGGGAGAGAGAGACAGACAGAUUGACAGAGACAGACAGACAGACAGACAGACAGACAGACAAAGAGACAGAGAGACUGCACAUCGGGGUGAAUGUGCACAUCGACAGAUGCACCCAGCAGUGGUGCAUUGAUUUCCAGCAGUUCUUUGAUGAGAUGAGCUAUUCCGCCUCCCUCCCAAGUCUACAGGCAGGUCCCAACAGUCAGCAGCGUCCCCCAUGCCGUAGCAGCGGGAACCCAGAAGGGCAGCUUGCCUCUGGGGGGACAUGGGCUCUAGCGGGUAAUAAUUCUGACUUUAUCUGACAUUGUCCCAAGCGGUGGCUUCUCCUGGUGUUGCGCGCCAAAGCCUCUGUGAUGCAUUCUGGCUUCAUUACGUUGGGUGAGAAGAUUUGGGACUUCAGAUAGAAGGUUCUCCAAAAACAUUACAUUUUGCUUGUUCUUUUUCCUGGAGUGAAGAAUGACAUUCUCUAGCGCUAAAAAGGCAUUUUGUGUGUGACAGUAUAUACUCAAACACAAUCAAAUAAGAGUGCAAGUAGUGUGGAGAGAUGUGUGAUACUGGUUGUCAAUCAGAUGCCUUGCCUUGCACAGAUAGCACUUGCCUUGUUAUUCGUACUAAAUGCCGUUCUUCACUGAAAAAACAAAUACGCAAAUCAUGAACCAUAUUAAACUGACAUUAAAAUGACAACAUUUUUACACAUCCAAUUAAAUCUGAGAUUAUUUGAGCGAGAAUUAGCUGUAUUAUUAGAUGAUGAGAUUAU